rnacentral:rRNA from 1 species
AUUGAACGCUGGCGGCAUGCUUUACACAUGCAAGUCGAACGGUAACAGGUUAUGCUGACGAGUGGCGAACGGGUGAGUAAUGCAUCGGAACGUGCCCGAUCGUGGGGGAUAACGCAGCGAAAGCUGCGCUAAUACCGCAUACGAUCUGAGGAUGAAAGCGGGGGACCGUAAGGCCUCGCGCGAUCGGAGCGGCCGAUGUCAGAUUAGGUAGUUGGUGGGGUAAAGGCUCACCAAGCCAACGAUCUGUAGCUGGUCUGAGAGAACGACCAGCCACGCUGGGAGUGAGACACGGCCCAGACUCCUACGGGGGGCAGCAGUGGGGAAUUUUGGACAAUGGGCGAAAGCCUGAUCCAGCAAUGCCGCGUGCAGGAGGAAGGCCUUCGGGUUGUAAGCUGCUUUUGUACGGAGCGAAAAGGCUCUCUCUAAUACAGGGGGCUCAUGACGGUACCGUAAGAAUAAGCACCGGCUAACUACGUGCCAGCCGCCGCAGUAA